GUCUCGGUAGUGUAAGGGAUGAGAGCACGGUGCCCGGAAAGCAAAAGUACGGGUUCGACUCCCGUGCGAGACU
rnacentral:tRNA from 1 species